rnacentral:rRNA from 1 species
GUGGGGAAUCUUCCACAAUGGACGAAAGUCUGAUGGAGCAACGCCGCGUGAGUGAAGAAGGGUUUCGGCUCGUAAAGCUCUGUUGUCGGGGACGAAUGUGCAGUAUUUGAAUAAAGUACUGUAAUGACGGUACCUGACGAGGAAGCCACGGCUAACUACGUGCCAGCAGCCGCGGUAAUACGUAGGUGGCAAGCGUUGUCCGGAAUUAUUGGGCGUAAAGGGAGCGCAGGCGGGAAGGUAAGUCGGUCUUAAAAGUGCGGGGCUCAACCCCGUGAUGGGAUCGAAACUAUCUUUCUUGAGUGCAGGAGAGGAAAGUGGAAUUCCUAGUGUAGCGGUGAAAUGCGUAGAUAUUAGGAGGAACACCAGUGGCGAAGGCGGCUUUCUGGACGGUGUCUGACACUGAGGCGCGAAAGCCAGGGGAGCGAACGGGAUUAGAUACCCUUGUAGUCC